UACGAAGGGGGCUAGCGUUACUCGGAAUUACUAGGCGUAAAGGGCAGGUAGGUGGUCUGACAAGUCUGUUGUGAAAGCUCCCGGCUUAACUGGGAGAGGCCAACAGAUACUGUCAGGCUUGAGUAUAGGAGAGGGUACUGGAAUUCCCGAUGUAGCGGUGAAAUGCGUAGAUAUCGGGAGGAACACCUGUGGCGAAGGUGGCCCCCUGGUCGGAUACUGACGCUGAGACGCGAAAGCGUGGGGAGCAAACAGG
rnacentral:rRNA from 1 species